rnacentral:rRNA from 1 species
UACGAAGGGGGCUAGCGUUGCUCGGAAUCACUGGGCGUAAAGCGCACGUAGGCGGCUUUCUAAGUCAGGGGUGAAAUCCUGGAGCUCAACUCCAGAACUGCCUUUGAUACUGGAGAGCUUGAGUCCGGGAGAGGUGAGUGGAACUCCGAGUGUAGAGGUGAAAUUCGUAGAUAUCUGGAGGAACACCGGUGGCGAAGGCGGCAUCCUGGACCGACACUGACACUGAGGAGCGAAAGCCAGGGGAGCAAACGGG